UGCUAACUGAACAUGUGCAGUGGCUGUGCGUGGUCAGGAUAUUCUUGUAGCAAUGAAAAAGGCAGCAGGGGAAUCAAGGAAGUUUUAUAGGUGCUCAAAAGAUCCAUGCUUACAUAUACAGUAACUGGAAAUAUGUGAUGAUUUGGCAGACAGGUGGCAUGUUGGAGAUAAAUGCCUUGCUCCUUUUUCUGAAAAUGGAAAGCUUUGUGACGCCACAAUAACAUCAUUUGAAACAGAUGAGAGUGGGAACUUUUUUGCAAUGAUUUCUUUUGAAGAAUCUUAAGAAAAGAAAAUACUAUCAGCGAAACUUUGUAGGAUCAAAAUGAAUAAAGAUGCAGAAAAAAGCUUAAUAUUUGAUGAUGAAGAUUUGGAGAAGCCUUAUUUUCCUGACAGAGGUCUUCCCUCCUUGGCAGUUGCCUUCGAGUUGUCCAAGGAUGGGCAUCAGAUCCCUUAUACAAUUAAUAGAUAUCUACGUGAUUACCAGAGGGAAGGUGCCCAGUUUUUAUACAGUCACUAUGUUCGUAAAAAUGGAUGUAUUCUGGGAGAUGACAUGGGACUUGGGAAAACAGUACAGGUGAUAUCAUUUCUGGCUGCAAUGCUACACAAAAAGGGGACACGUGCGGAUAUUGAAAAUAACAUGCCUGAUUUCUUGCUAAGAACAAUGAAAAAAGAAAAGUCAUCUGCGCCAAAGAGAACUUUUCUGAUUGUAGCACCCCUUUCUGUACUUUAUAACUGGAAAGAUGAAUUGGACACCUGGGGCUAUUUCAAGGUUAUAGUUUUGCAUGGCAAUAGAAAAGACUAUGAACUGAAUCGAAUCAAGCAAGGAAAAUGUGAGAUUGUGCUAACAACAUAUGAAACACUACGUCUUUUUUUGGAUGACCUUAAUAGCAUAGAGUGGUCAGCUGUCAUUGUUGAUGAAGUGCACAGAAUCAAGAAUCCAAAGUCUCAGACAACUAAGACAAUGAAGGCUUUAACAUGUAAAGUUCGACUAGGCCUUACUGGGACAAUUCUUCAGAACAACAUGAAGGAACUAUGGUGUGUUAUGGACUGGGCUGUGCCAGGGCUUUUGGGUAAUGAAAAACGCUUCAAGAAAGAAUUUUCUGAUCCAGUUGAGCACGGUCAAAGACACACGGUAACAAAAAGAGAGCUGGCAACUGGUCGAAAGGCAAUGCAAAGGCUAGCUAAGAAAAUGUCGGAUUAUUUCUUAAGACGUACAAAGACUCUUAUUAAUGAUCAGCUGCCCAGGAAGGAAGACAGGAUGGUAUACUGCUCUUUGACAGAGUUCCAGAGAGCGGUAUAUAAGGCUGUAUUGGAGACAGAAGAUGUACGCUUAGUACUUCAAGCACGGGGCCGGUGUAGCUGCAACAGUGGCCAAAAAAGGAAGAAUUGUUGUUUCAAAACAAAUGCCCAUGGUGAAACAAUGCAGGCGCUGUAUUUCAGUUACCUCACAGUUCUUCGUAAGAUUGCUAAUCACGUGGCCCUGUUGCAGACAGACAACACGAGCAAACAGCAGGAAGCGCACAUCACAAGGGUCUGCAGUGAAGUGUUUUCCAAGUUUCCUGAUUUUGUGCAACUUAGCAAAGAUGAAGCCUUCAAAACUAUUUCUGACCCAAAAUAUAGUGGGAAAAUGAAGGUGCUGCAGAAACUUCUAAAUCACUUUAGAAAGAACAAAGAUAAAGUGCUUCUUUUUUCAUUUUCAACCAAGUUGCUUGAUGUUUUAGAACAAUAUUGCAUGGCAUCUGGGCUAGAUUACCGAAGACUCGAUGGAAAUACAAAGGCAGAGGACAGGGUCAAGAUAGUAAAAGAGUUCAACAGCAUGGAAGAAGUUAACAUAUGCCUCGUGUCUACAAUGGCUGGUGGACUCGGACUCAAUUUUGUUGGUGCUAAUAUUGUUGUGCUGUUUGAUCCAACAUGGAAUCCAGCUAAUGAUCUUCAGGCCAUUGACAGAGCAUACAGGAUUGGCCAAUGCAGGGAUGUGAAAGUAUUUAGGCUUAUAUCUUUGGGAACUGUGGAAGAGAUUAUGUAUUUACGGCAAGUUUACAAGCAGCAACUGCAUUGUGUAGUGGUGGGAAGUGAAAAUGCCAAGCGAUAUUUUGAGGCAGUUCAAGGAUCGAAAGAACAUCAAGGAGAACUUUUUGGAAUCCGUAAUCUGUUCAAGUUUCGGGAUUGUGGAUCCUGUCUUACAAAAGAAAUUCUGGAGAGAGAAGGGAGAGUGGAAGCUGGUGUCAUGACAGCUACUACAUGGUUAAAAGAGGAACUCCAGCCUGAUGAGACAGAAAGGCAGGCAGAGCCUGGUUGUGAAGACCAAGAUGCUGGUUGUCCCAAGGAACCAUUGGGAAAUAAAGGAUUUGAUUCUAGUGACUUCAGUGAUGAAGAGCUUGUGCGAAAUUCAAAGGGAAAAGCAGAAAGAAGCAGAUUGUGCAAUGCAAGAAGUACCAAGGUUUUACAAGGGCAACUUACUUUACUGCAGUGUGGAUUUCCAAAACUUUUAGAAAAGAGGCCCAAAACAGCUGAGCAUGGUGACUGCAUCAGCAGCUCCAGUGAUGAAAGUGUUGGUGGCAAAUCUGUGGGACGGAGUUCCAAAGGAAGUUGCUCUAGUGGCUGUUCUCUAAAGACUGAGAGCUAUGGUUGUACUUCCGGGCAUCCGAAAACAUCUGACUCUUCAGUCAGAAUGGCAAAACUAGAGGUGCACAGAAAAACUGCAAAUUGGGAUUCUCCAGUUUCAUUAAGCACUGAGGAAGAAAAGAGUGCUGGAAAUCAGCAUGAAAGCAUGUGCAUUUCUAAACAAGUUGACGUUGCUGUGGAACCUGAAGACAGUUCCACUGAAAAUGAAGACAUUGUCUUCCCUUCUCAAGUUCCUGUUUGUCAGGAAAUUGCAAAAAGUUAUAAAAACACUGCAGCCAACCAUGAUACAGAAAAAAGCCCCAUGCGUACAUCUCAUUUGACUUCUGAGGAGGAUAGGAGUAGUAUUUCACCAUACAGUAAAAUUAAACCAUUUGAAAACAUGUCAAAGAUCAGAACUGUGAAUGAAGCAAGUGACGUUAGUGACGAAUCUGAUGAUAUUGAGAUGUUUAAGUCAGGAAAGCAGGAAUUCACCAACACUAUGAAACAAGAACAAUUUCAGAACAAGCAACUUAAUAACCCUUCUGGAAUGGUUUCGCAUAGAAGCAGAUCAGGCAAUGCUGACUCUCAGAGUAUAGAAGAGUUUUCAUCACCAGAGGAUAGCUUCUCAAUUAAGAAGACUGAUGUUAAUAAACAAAAACGGAAGCUCAAAAGUACUAGGUGUAGAAUUCAGUUUAAAUCUGAAUUACCCAGAUAUAGUAAUAAUCCUUCUGUGACACUGAGAAAACAAGAUAAUUCAAAUAGCUGCCAGUUGUCUUUCAGCAAGCAAACUUUUGCAAGCCAAGGACAAAAUGUUGGAUCACUAGACAGACUUCUUGGUGAUGUUGCUGAAGUGUCCUAUGUUCAUUCAAAUCAAAAUGUGGUGGGUUCCAGCAAAGCUGAAAAUCAGAUGAGUCGUUGGGCAGUGCGAGAUGUAUUUGAGCUGCAGCAGUUUUCCCAGCUUCCUGCAAAUAUUGCAGUAUGCAGAGGCAAGAAAGACAGGAAGAACACAGAAGAAAGUCCAUCAAAGAAGAGCACCCACAAAGUUAAGUCAGUAAGUGGAAUCAGCAAACCAUCUGUUCUUUAUAUCACACAUCCAGUGUGCCAGAAACAGAAAAGGGUCCACCGAAUAGGUUCAAGGACCUUCCUACUUGGAAAGACACCGAAAGGAAUCCGAAGGAAACAAUUUGAAGAAAUGGCAUCUCAUUUUCAUAAGAACCCAGUGGAGGAAUUCGCAAAGCAUAUUGUUGACACUACCUCAGAAGAGAGACAGAAAAUGUUGAAAGAAUUUUAUGGUGCAAAAUAUCCAGAAUUAAAGGAGCUAUUAAAAGUUGAUGUUCCAGUUUCUGCUUCAGACAAAGAAGAUGUACAGAGAGCCCAGUCUAGAAAAAGAAAGUCCGUUUUUAAACCUGAAAAAUCAGUGUCUGGUCCUUUGACAGAUCUGUGUGGCCAUAAAAGACAUGAUGCAGAAGGAAAACAAUUUCAGUAUGAUCCCUGCGUACAAACUGCUGUGUGUCAUAAUGUGGAGAAUAAACAAUUGCCCACUGUCAUUACCCAAGAUAGCAUUAGUGAGAGAAACAGUCAGGCAUUCAAAGACUUUAUGGCAUCUGACUCAUUAAGCAGUAAAUCAGGAAUAAUUGAGGGGCUGUCUGCAAAUACUACCAAAGGACAGCCAAACUUGAAGGGGGCAGAGUCGCCAAGAAAACCCUUUCUGUCUCAGUCAGAAAGCAGACAGGCUGAAAUAUGCAAGGAAAACUCAUUUGCAGACUUACUAGGAGACACCUCCAUUUUAAAUGACCUCUUCAAAAGUAAUGGAAAUAGACCAACUGAGCCACCCAGGAGGUCUCUUUCUGGGCCUACGGAAGGAGCAAAAACGCGAUCAAAGGAUUUCUGGGACAUGCUGAAUGAACAGAAUGAGGAGAGUCUGCAAAAGCUGACAGACAUAGCAAUCAUAGAGAAACUAUGUGAAAAAGCACCUCUCGCUCGUUUGUCUAGGGAGAAAGAAGAAGAUAAGAAAUCGCUUUGGAAGAAAAAUGACAAUUUUUUAUGGAAAAGAUACAAUACAACUGACACAGAUGAUGAAUCUUCGUGUGACACAUGAUGAGAUGUGUAAAUAUCAAAAAAGAAAAAUAUGCACAGGUGCUUAAAAAGUUACUUUUUAUUCCUGGAACUGACCCAGUACAUUCCAGGCUGCUUUAGCUGUUUCUUUUCCAAGGAUAACUUAUUCUUAGUGUUUCAAAAGAACACUUUCUCACACACAGUAUGUGUUUUAAAGCAAUUGCAAGAGGAAAAUAUCCUUGAAAGGAUAGCUCUUGGAUCCCUGAAUACGGAGAAAGGUAGGAUAAGAUGACCAGAUCUGAAAUAAACAAACAGAUGUAAACCAUAUGCCUUUGUAGCACCUGUGGAUAGUUUCCCUUUUUGUUGCUCCCUUUCUUCUUAAUCCUCUUGCUUCUUGGUGUAAUUCUUGGAGUUUUAAAAAUCAGUUUAUAAUCAAUUAAAGAACAUAUUCAGGGUAUUAUCCAGCCUAUAAAUAAGGUGUAAGGUAAUUCCCAUGAAGUGCAUCAGGUAAGUGGUGCAGCAGUAAUUCAGAAUGGUUAUGUCUUAUCAGUUCAGUGCUAUGUCACUUCAUAAUCUGAAGCAAACAAGGAGAGCUAGUGAAAAAAGAAGGUGGGAAUAAUGGCAGAGGAGUAUAUGGUGUUCGAUGGGGAGGAAUGUACCUACUUUGCUGUGUGGACAUCUAUAGUGCAGCUUCUCAGGAUAAUUAAACUUUUCCAUGUUGAAUGAUAACAAUUAUUUCAGCUGGUCUAGACUUUACUUCUCUCGUUGCCCUCCACACUGUCUAAAAAUCAGCUCUGGAAAGUUUCCCAAUCAUCCAGUGAAAAUAUUAUGGAAGUAGAGGAAAUUGUGAGUCAGGUGAAGAAUCCUGUUUCUGCUUCCGUCAAUCGAACUGCACCAUGAUGCUGACCAUAACUAGAAUGCUGAAUAGGAAUGAGCUUUAUGACAGUCAUUAGGCAUAGGUUACCAGGCACCGCAUUGUUAAUAUCGUCUUUGAAUUAUGUGUGCUUGGUUAUGUGCCAUCAAUUCAGCACUGUCUUACAGUGACCUUAAUGGGGUGUUCAAGGCAAGUGAGAUAUUUAAGGAGUGGAUUUGCCAGUUCAACAUCAUGACUGAGCAGGAAUUUGAACACAGAGCUCCUAGGUCCUAGUCUGUCAUUCUGUAUACUACACCAUAUUGGGUAUCAUGUGCUAGACUCAUUUAAAUGAAUGAAAACAGCACUUCGGAAUCAAGAGUGAUAGUCAUCAUGUGAGCUGCUGAAAAAAAACCUUCGUAAAUUAUUGCCUGUGUGCUUAUCAUCCAAUUGGUGAUGGAAUUGCGACAUAUUUAUGUCAGGGAAAUGAUGGAUCACUGUGGAACUUCAGCUUGUAUGAAGUUCUAAGUAACCAUUCUGUCCGCAAAUAAAAAUACUUUUAAAUAGAAGACUUCAUAAUUGUAUCUCUGUGUUUGUAAAAUGUUACUUCUAUUAUGGCUCAGUUUCUCUAUCAUACACUAGCAGAAGGGUCUCCAAAUUUUUCACACGGAGAGCCACAUAAUUUCGAUAUUUUCAAGGGCUGAAGGAAUGCACACAUGCACACAAUCCUACCCGCCCAUGCUCCUGUACAUACACACACCCGCCCGCACACAUGCACUCCCGCCGACCUACACGCGUGCAUUCCCACCCACCCGCAUGCACGGAGACCCCUGCACUAACAGAUCUACCCAAAUAACAUUGUGGUGGUUGUUGUUUUGAUAUCUUCACAUUUUUUCUGACCAACCUCUUGCAAAUAAGUGUCUGGUAAAAAUAUUUUGGUGUAGAA